AAUUUUGUGUAGAUUAAUAAUAUCCAACUUUCAUCUAUGUUUGAGAUGAUAAAAAUGUUGUUUACAUUAAUUUGCAUAAAUGCCAUGCUAAAAUGAUUUUAUUCAUAACUAAAUAACCGUAGCUCCGAUUUAAAUAAACUUUAUAUGUAAAUGGGGUAGAAUUUUGCCUAGUUUAACAUGGUGCACUCAUCUUGCAUGUUUAACAACUCUAAAAUAUUGUUUAGGGCAGAACAGUACCAAAUCUAAAAUAUGCUAUGGGGAUUUACCGGAAUUGUUGUUCGUUGCUUCCGGCCUCAUUUAACCUUGACUAGAUAGGUAGUUUUCAUUUGCUUCACCCUCUUGCCAUG
rnacentral:rRNA from 1 species